rnacentral:rRNA from 1 species
GGAAGAAGCUGGGGUAGCUAUGUAGGGGAAGGGGAUAAACGCUGAAAAGCAUCUAAGUGUGAAGCCCACCUCAAGAUGAGAUUUCCCAUUUCUUUAAGAAAGUAAGAUCCCUGAGAGAUGAUCAGGUAGAUAGGUCAGGAGUGG